CGGGGUGGAGUAAUGCUUGGGAAGUCUGGCUUAUGGAGGGGGAUAACUACGGGAAACUGUAGCUAAUACCGCGUAGAAUCGGGAGAUGAAAGUGUGGGACCUUCGGGCCACAUGCCAUAGGAUGAGCCCAAGUGGGAUUAGGUAGUUGGUGAGGUAAAGGCUCACCAAGCCGACGAUCUCUAGCUGGUCUGAGAGGAUGACCAGCCACACUGGGACUGAGACACGGCCCAG
rnacentral:rRNA from 1 species